rnacentral:rRNA from 1 species
ACGUACGCUGGCGGUAUGCUUAACACAUGCAAGUCGAACGGAAACGAUACUAGCUUGCUAGUAGGCGUCGAGUGGCGGACGGGUGAGUAACGCGUAGGAAUCUGCCUGAUAGUGGGGGAUAGCCCGAAGAAAUUCGGAUUAAUACCGCAUAAUCUAUUCGUAGUAAAGUGGGGGACUUUCGAGCCUCACGCUAUCAGAUGAGCCUGCGUAAGAUUAGCUUGUUGGUAGGGUAAUGGCCUACCAAGACUGUGAUCAAUAGCUGAUUUGAGAGGAUGAUCAGCCACAUUGGGACUGAGACACGGCCCAAACUCCUACGGGAGCAGCAGUGGGAAUCUUGC